ensembl:lncRNA
GUUCCAGUUCGACCUUACUGUGAGCAAUGAUUUGUUCCAGUUUGACCUUACUGUGAGCAUGAUUUGUUCCAGUUUGACCUUACUGUGAGCAUGAUUUGUUCCAGUUUGACCUUACUGUGAGCAUGAUUUGUUCCAGUUUGACCUUACUGUGAGCACAUAAAGGAAUGCAAAGGUGACAUUCACACAAAAAGGACGCAGUGUCAGCAGCAAAUGUGUUGAGCAAAUGUUGUAUAUUUUGUUUGGCAGACCUUUGUGUCUGCUAUGAUAAACCAACCACUCUACAGCCCUUGGAAAUAUGGAGAUAAAUGUCACAUUUAACAAUGCUGUACCUGAUACAUUUGGGGGAUUUGGGAAAUUAAUGAUUAACUUAUGUGGAUAAGAAACAGUUUGAAUAGGCUGAACGAUCAGUAAAUGAUGUGAAACGGUUGAAAGACAGCUGUAUUUGUAAGGAGCUCAGUUCAUUUGUACCUCGUAGCGGUCUAUCUAUCCACGAUGAAGCUCAUCCUGACAAUCUCCUGCGCCUUCACACUGUUCUACACAGGUGACUUACUGAAUCCAUGUAGAUUGGUUCUUACAUACACCUUAUUUUGACAUACAGCCGUUAUGUUUAAUUUGAUGUAUAAUAACACGAUGACGAUCGCAAUUGAUGAGUUUAGUUAAUUGUUUGUUUAACGAUGGACCACUAUUGAUAUAUACAUGUUUCUUUUUUUCAUAAUCUUGGAUGCUUUGGUUUCUAGCUGACAUGCUCAAUUGCUACACCUGUGAGCCUGAGGAUGAAAAAUGUCGGACAACAGUAUUAAAGAACUGUGUGAAAGCAGUAUGUUCCACCUUAACAAGCAUAGAAUAUCCUUCAGAUUCCAUCAGAGUAUCUAAGGGUUGUACGUAUGUAGCCAAAAACUGUUAUUUCAUGGAUAAAGUAACAGAACUGUCAAUGAACAACGGAUACUCACAAGCCUCCCAAUCCUCGUUUUGCUGCAACACGACAGGCUGCAACAUAGACACCCUCCCUGCCCUCAGUGACAAGCCCAAUAAACUACAAUGUCACACCUGGGUGAAUGGUACUUAUGAAGUUUUGCAAUGCAUUGGAAUUGAAGACCACUGCUUCAAAUAUAAACAGCUCACUCCUGAUGGGGGCAAAGUCACCAUUUAUGGAGGCUGUGCCUCCAGUGACUCAUGCCUCUGGUCUGAGAUGCCCAACCAGACGAACCUCAACUGCUGCAAGGGGAGUCUGUGUAACAAAGCCAUGGGGAUGAGUCUGAGUUCUCUCCCUCUUCUGCUGGGUCUCCUCCUCAUCUCACUGGUCUAGUUAGUGGGAGGAUUCAUGGUAAUCCCAGCCGUUGGUGUGAUAUCCACAAUAAAUCUAUGUGUCAAUAUAUUGGUACAUCUAAGAAAUUUGAAACAUAAGUAAUAUUAUUGUGUUUGGAUGUUCAUUUAUUCGCAAAAGAAAUGGAAAUUGUAGAAUUAUUUUAAAAUCUGUAGUCACUCAUGUCACUCUUUACUCUUUACUUGUACAUUACGUUACUGUAUAUUAUAAACUGGGUGGUACGAGUCCUGAAUGCUGAUUGGCUGACAGCCGUGGUAUGUCAGACUGUAUACCACGUGUAUGACAAAACAUGUAUUUUUACUGCUCUAAUUACUUUGGUAACCCGAUUAUAUUAUGCCUUUAUAUUAUUAAGCAAUAAGGCCCAAGGGGUUUGUGGUAUAUGACCAAUAUACCACGGAUAAGGCCUGUAACCAGGCACUCUGUGUUGCAUCGUGCUUAAGAACAGCCAUUAGCCAAUUUAUAUUGGCCAUAUACUACACCCCCGUGGGCCUUAUUGCUUAAGUAUAUAAUGGCAUAAUAUCACCACAAAACUAUGUUACAUACGGUACAGUGCAAAGAUCAAGGUUGCUCCCUCUCUCUCAUCAACUUCAAUUGUACUCUCUUCCUAAACAAAGGUCUUACACACAUCUGAAAGCAGGAAAGGAAAAGGAAAUAGAGAGAAGGACCACCAAACAUCUGAUGCUAAACCAAAGAAUGUUAACGAGGCCAUAAAUAUAUUUUUAUACCUUUUUACUAUGUUUGAUAUGAUGCCAUUAUCGGGUGAAUGUAGCAGGGUAAAGUCAGGUCUGAUGGGGCAGAGUAAACAGAUUUAGGAGAUGGGUUUAUUCUCAGGUAUAGGAUCAUACCCAUAUAUUUUCACUUCUCUUAGUUUUUUUCUGUACUGCUUUUUAGUUGAGGCUUGUAGCUAGCUGAGGGUUGUAACAUGGCAGUGUGUACCCAUUUAUAUCAACAGUUAUUAUCAAUCAGUUAUUAUAUGCUUAAUGUGCUUUGGGACUAAUAAAAUAAAAGUAAA